UGGGUGAGAGUGGCGAACGGGUGAGUAAUGCGUGACCGACCUGCCCCAUACACCGGAAUAGCUCCUGGAAACGGGUGGUAAUGCCGGAUGCUCCAGUUGGAUGCAUGUCCUUCUGGGAAAGAUUCAUCGGUAUGGGAUGGGGUCGCGUCCUAUCAGCUUGAUGGCGGGGUAACGGCCCACCAUGGCUUCGACGGGUAGCCGGCCUGAGAGGGCGACCGGCCACAUUGGGACUGAGAUACGGCCCAGACUCC
rnacentral:rRNA from 1 species